rnacentral:tRNA from 1 species
GUAAAGUUGGCAGAAAAUUAUGUGAAUAAUUUAGGAUUAUUUUAUAAAAGAGUAGGUUCUUUUACUUUAUA